CCUGAUGCAGCAACGCCGCGUGAGGUAUGAAGGCCUUUGGGUUGUAAGCCUCUGUCCUAGGGGAAGAAAAAAAUGACGGUACCCGAGGAGGAAGCCCCGGCUAACUACGUGCCAGCAGCCGCGGUAAUACGUAGGGGGCAAGCGUUAUCCGGAAUUAUUGGGCGUAAAGAGUGCGUAGGUGGUCUACUAAGCGCGAGGUGAAAGGCAAUGGCUCAACCAUUGUUAGCCUUGUGAACUGGCAGACUUGAGUGCAAGAGAGGAAAGCGGAAUUCCUAGUGUAGCGGUGAAAUGCGCAGAUAUUAGGAGGAACACCGGCGGCGAAGGCGGCUUUCUGGAUUGUAACUGACACUGAGGCACGAAAGCGUGGGUAGCAAACAGGAUUAGAUACCCUGGUAGUCCACGCCGUAAACGAUGAGCACUAAGGUGUCGGGACAUGAGUCUCGGUGCCGCAGUUAACGCAAUAAGUGCUCCGCCUGGGGAGUACGCACGCAAGUGUAAACUCAAGGAAUUGGACGGGGACCGCACAGCAGCGGAGCAUGU
rnacentral:rRNA from 1 species